rnacentral:misc_RNA from 1 species
GAUGAAGAACGUAGCGAAAUGCGAAAAGUAAUGUGAAUUGCAGAAUUCAGUGAACCAUCGAAUCUUUGAACGCACAUUGCGCCCGCUGGAACUCCGGCGGGCACGCCUGUCCGAGCGUCAUUACAACCCUCAGGCCCCCCUUCGCGGGCGGGCCUGGUGUUGGGGCCCGGCCGCUACCCUGCGGCCGUCCCCUAAAUUCAGUGGCGGCCUCGCCGUGAUCCCUUGCGUAGUAAUGCACCUCGCACCGGAGAGCGCCGUGGCCACGCCGUAAAACCCCCAAUUUUCAAUGGUUGACCUCGGAUCAGGUGGGAAUACCCGCUGAACUUAAGCAUAUCAAUAAGCGGAGGA